rnacentral:rRNA from 1 species
AGAGUUUGAUCCUGGCUCAGGACGAACGCUGGCGGCGUGCUUAACACAUGCAAGUCGAACGGAAAGGCCCUUCGGGGUACUCGAGUGGCGAACGGGUGAGUAACACGUGGGUGAUCUGCCCUGCACUUUGGGAUAAGCCUGGGAAACUGGGUCUAAUACCGAAUAGGACCACGCGCUUCAUGGUGUGUGGUGGAAAGCUUUUGCGGUGUGGGAUGGGCCCGCGGCCUAUCAGCUUGUUGGUGGGGUAAUGGCCUACCAAGGCGACGACGGGUAGCCGGCCUGAGAGGGUGACCGGCCACACUGGGACUGAGAUACGGCCCAGACUCCUACGGGAGGCAGCAGUGGGGAAUAUUGCACAAUGGGCGCAAGCCUGAUGCAGCGACGCCGCGUGAGGGAUGACGGCCUUCGGGUUGUAAACCUCUUUCAAUAGGGACGAAGCGCAAGUGACGGUACCUAUAGAAGAAGCACCGGCCAACUACGUGCCAGCAGCCGCGGUAAUACGUAGGGUGCGAGCGUUGUCCGGAAUUACUGGGCGUAAAGAGCUCGUAGGUGGUUUGUCGCGUUGUUCGUGAAAACUCACAGCUUAACUGUGGGCGUGCGGGCGAUACGGGCAGACUAGAGUACUGCAGGGGAGACUGGAAUUCCUGGUGUAGCGGUGGAAUGCGCAGAUAUCAGGAGGAACACCGGUGGCGAAGGCGGGUCUCUGGGCAGUAACUGACGCUGAGGAGCGAAAGCGUGGGGAGCGAACAGGAUUAGAUACCCUGGUAGUCC